AUGUGGCGCCAUCUAGUAGUAAGACAAAGAAGGUUUUAACUCUUACGCUAAGUUACGAGUCAACAAAGCAGAAUAGCUUAAAAACAGCAAUCUACAGUAAAGCCUCGCUUACACUAGAGGUUCUUCUUAAGUUUUUAGUUCCUUAAUCUUUUAAGUUCUUAAGAAGUUAAGCUAAGUUUUAAAUUUUUCAACUUACACUGUCAAGUGACUUUUUUUUUAAAGAAGGCGGAGUUAGUUUUCGUGCAAACGCAAAUAAAUAUAAGCAGACGAAGUGCUAUUUUUGUGUUGAUGUUGAGCGUCAUCAAAAUGGAUAACUACGAUUUUUACGUGUACCAGUGGAAACGAAAUGUGUUGUUGGAUUCACAGCUCUUUUAUUUGCGGUUUCCGACACUUGGACAUCUGGCACACGACGAUAGGACAUCUGCCCGACGACGUUUGAAAAAGUGGUUCCCGACAUUUGGAAACAACAACUAAAUGUUGCUGAAUCCAACUAGCAGAAUACUUUGCGACAAGUGGACUCAAAUGUCAGCGACGUAAAGACUUCCAGUUAACGACGAGUGGACUUCCAGGCAAUCGACGUUUGGACUCCCGGGACUCCUGAUAUAGCGACAAAGGGACUCCCAAUCCAGUGACGCAUGGAUUUUCAGAGUUAUUUACGCUGAAGGAUUCUUAACCACAUAGGUAUUCGUAAUAUUGGAUUUAUCGGCUAAAUAACUUAUACAUUUUUAUUAUACAGUCAUGCUUGGAAGUUUCUUUAGCAGGCUAAUCGGUCUAUAUCCUUCUAUUUCUUUUUGAUGGAGGGGAUACUUUGGUGCCUACCGUACCCCUUUA
rnacentral:lncRNA from 1 species